GACGAACGCUGGCGGCGUGCUUAACACAUGCAAGUCGAACGAAGUGGCGAACGGGUGAGUAACGCGUAAUCAACCUGCCCUUCAGCGGGGGACAACAGUUGGAAACGACUGCUAAUACCGCAUACUGAUGGAGGUGCUUGCGUGUGAUUAGCUAGCUGGAGGGGUAACGGCCCACCAAGGUGAUGAACAGUAGCCGGGUUGGGGUGAUGAACGGCCAACUGGGGACGUGGACACGGCCCAGAAUCCUAAGGGAGGCAGCAGUGGGGAAUCGUCCGAAAUGGACGAAAGUCUGGCGGAGCAACGCCGCGUUGGUGAUGACAGCCUUCGGGUUGUAAAGCUCUGUUAAUCGGGACGCGGUACCGGAAUAGAAAGCAACGGCUAACUACGUGCCAGCAGCCGCGGUAAUAC
rnacentral:rRNA from 1 species